UAAUAUUUCAAAAUGUUAGUGGAAGAACUGCUCAUGUGCAAGAAUUAUUCUGAAUAUCUAUAUGGAUGUAACUAGUUAUUGUAAGAUGUAAGUACUUACCUGAGGAAUAGUGUUAUUGGAGAUAAAUUGUUCAUUAUUACAGAUCCUAGCUGCAAUAUAGAUUUCGCACGGAAACACAGUGUGGUACAAAGAUUUAUUUUGUAUGCUUCAGUACUUCCUAAAUAUCAAAUGAUUUUGGAUUGCAGUGAUUUCGAACUUGCUUGCCUCUGUUAUUUGUUUCGUUGUUAACAACAUGCUUGAAAUUUGUUUUGUGGUUCUUAUAAUAUUCCCAAUAUAUUGAAAUUUGUGCUACCCUGACAUGCCCUUUUGUGGUAAUUCAUCAACUUUUUACAGAGAAUUCUCAUCUUUAAAUAAGAGGAUAAUUUCUGUUUGUGAAACUUUUUGCAUCCAUAGAUUAUUAAUUUCUGCUUGAUAUAUAUGAGAACAGCAUCAGAUAAAACAACAAAGUCGGUAGUAUCUGCUGAAUUUUGAUAUCUGAAGUAGAUCAAAUUUAUCUACUGCUGUAUUGCGUGCUUGCCUAGAUUAGUUUAAAGCACCAUUUGGUGCGUGCAGAUCUCUAUUCUCGCUAAUCGCUAUCUUUCAUUGCUUUAGCAGAACAUUUAUUUUACUAUAAAUAGGCUGCUCUGGCAGUUUUGCAUAUAUGCUAGAAUUACCAAGACAUUGCUGUGAUCCAGUACUAGUUCUAACAUACUACUUAAUUAGAGCCUGAUCCUUCUGCAUCACUAGCCUUCAUUGAGAAAUCAUCUUUUGUGCUAUGCCAAACUAUUGACCGUUAAUGAGAUUGUAGUUUCUUGUUUUCACAUAGUAGAUAUUCUUUCUGAAAACUUGAAAAUGUACCAAUUAUUUAUAGGUAUUUAUUGAGUUGUUUGUGCAGGGUGAAAAUAACAUGAACUGCUUUAUUGUGUGUAUAUGAUUCUUUCCUUUAAUCAUGUGCUCGUGAUUUGAUGUGGUCGACACUGAUUGUAGAAUGGCUCAAAAAGAUGGCCUGAGCGAUCUUAGAAAUUUGUCUCCUCAUGUUCUUGUGAGAGGCAGUUUUCCUUCUGUGCAAAACAUGAUUGCUUCAUAUUUCCAACACGCUGCUCUGUCUUUGCAGGCCAUACUUAACAUGUGUGACAAUAUUGGCGGUACCUUAAUCGACAUGAAUGGACCUCUGCCUAUGGCAUACUAAAUGAUCAUGGUGGCACUGCACAUAAUGAACUGCCACGGUUUGCCUUCAGCGGCGUCGUCUACUCAUCUGUGUGCUUCUUGUGAGUUGUGAAGCAUCCAUCCUGACAUUGCGCCAUAUUUCGCAUUGUGGUUAUUAGUAAUAUAGAAGAAAAAAGGGGUCGCAGCUCGUGCAUACAGCAUUCGGAGGAGCAAGGUUAAACCGUUCGAUGGAAUCAUCAUGGAAAUUACCAGCUUUCUGUAUCAUCAUGGAAAUUACCAGCUUUCUGAAUAAGCAGAACAUGAAGUCUACAGUUGUACGGUGUACUUCAUAAAGUCAGAAGCUGCGUAUCGUUUGUUAGGUACAGUGCCAUGUCGAGGCAUUUACUAAGAAGUGGCCCAGGUCAACACUGAUGAGAGCUUUCUUGAAAAGUGGAAACGCGAUGGUUACUCCUUGGCCAAAGGACCGUUCUUCCAUUUCCAUCACAAGAACGGCGCCAACCAUGGAGAUUUAGCUCUCGAGUCAUGUGGACUGCCGUCCAUUUUACAAUGGACGGCGAGCCCUUCGUCGAUGCCUUCUGUGGUCUGAAAUACUUCAUGCCCUGUCAGGUUCCCCAAAUUAUCUGAAUUUUGGCUGUGUACGAUCCGUUUUGGAUGUAGAGACCGGUUUAACCCAUUUCUUUAAAAAAACUGAAUUUUGAUU
rnacentral:sRNA from 1 species